rnacentral:misc_RNA from 1 species
AACGCACCUUGCACCCGCAGCCUCUGGCCGCGAGUAUGGCUGUUUGAGAAGGGAAACUUGGUCAAAGAGCAAUCUUUGGAGAUGGUCUCGACAAAUGUCGAGGCUGAAAUGCACAGUUGGCACUGCGUGACAGCGGGGAAUGCCCUGAAUUCGCAGUGCCGCUCACUCAUCAUCGUCCUCUCAAAUCAGCCAAGGCUACCCGCUGAACUUAA